rnacentral:tRNA from 1 species
UGGCUCAGUGGUAAAGAAUCUGCCUGCGAAGCAGGAGACCCAGGUUCAAUCCCUGG